UUAGCUAGUUGGUAGGGUAAUGGCCUACCAAGGCGACGAUCUGUAGCUGGUCUGAGAGGACGAACAGCCACACUGGGACUGAGACACGGCCCAGACUCCUACGGGAGGCAGCAGUGGGGAAUAUUGGACAAUGGGCGAAAGCCUGAUCCAGCAAUGCCGCGUGUGUGAAGAAGGCCUGAGGGUUGUAAAGCACUUUCAAUAGUGAAGAAAUGCUAAUGAUUAAUACUCAUUAGUCUUGACGUUAACUUUAGAAGAAGCACCGGCUAACUCUGUGCCAGCAGCCGCGGUAAUACAGAGGGUGCAAGCGUUAAUCGGAAUUACUGGGCGUAAAGCGCGCGUAGGUGGUUUGAUAAGUUGGAUGUGAAAUCCCCGGGCUUAACCUGGGUCGGUCAUCCAAAACUGUCAGACUAGAGUAUGGUAGAGGGUAGUGGAAUUCCUAGUGUAGCGGUGAAAUGCGUAGAUAUUAGGAGGAACACCAGUGGCGAAGGCGACUGCCUGGACUGAUACUGACACUGAGGUGCGAAAGCGUGGGUAGCGAACAGGAUUAGAUACCCUGGUAGUCCACGCCGUAAACGAUGACAACUAGACGUUGGGUGACUUAGAUCACUUAGUGUCGAAGCUAACGCGUUAAGUUGUCCGCCUGGGGGAGUACGGUCGCAAGAUUAAAACUCAAAGGAAU
rnacentral:rRNA from 1 species